rnacentral:rRNA from 1 species
AGCGAACGCUGGCGGCAGGCUUAACACAUGCAAGUCGAGCGGGCACUUCGGUGUCAGCGGCAGACGGGUGAGUAACACGUGGGAACGUACCCUUUGGUUCGGAAUAACGCUGGGAAACUAGCGCUAAUACCGGAUACGCCCUUUUGGGGAAAGGCUUGCUGCCGAAGGAUCGGCCCGCGUCUGAUUAGCUAGUUGGUGGGGUAAUGGCCUACCAAGGCGACGAUCAGUAGCUGGUCUGAGAGGAUGAUCAGCCACACUGGGACUGAGACACGGCCCAGACUCCUACGGGAGGCAGCAGUGGGGAAUAUUGGACAAUGGGCGCAAGCCUGAUCCAGCCAUGCCGCGUGAGUGAUGAAGGCCUUAGGGUUGUAAAGCUCUUUUGUCCGGGACGAUAAUGACGGUACCGGAAGAAUAAGCCCCGGCCAACUUCGUG